rnacentral:rRNA from 1 species
UACGUAGGGUGCGAGCGUUAAUCGGAAUUACUGGGCGUAAAGCGUGCGCAGGCGGUUAUGUAAGACAGGUGUGAAAUCCCCGGGCUUAACCUGGGAACUGCAUUUGUGACUGCAUAGCUAGAGUACGGUGGAGAGGUGAGUGGAAUUCCGAGUGUAGAGGUGAAAUUCGUAGAUAUUCGGAAGAACACCAGUGGCGAAGGCGGCUCACUGGUCCGGUACUGACGCUGAGGUGCGAAAGCGUGGGGAGCAAACAGG